rnacentral:rRNA from 1 species
GUAACGGCGAGUGAAGCGGGAAGAGCUCACGUUGUGAAUCUGGCCCUCGGGUCCGAACUGUACUUUGGAGAGGCGUGGCCAGCCGCUGUCCGCGGCCAAGUCUGAUUGGAAAUGAGCAUCAAGGAGGGUGACAAUCCCGUCCAUGCCGCGGUAUCGAUCAGCGCGCGUCCGGCCCGCUUUCGACGAGUCGAGUUGCUUGGGAUUGCAGCUCAAAGAGGGUGGUAAACUCCAUCCAAAGCUAAACACGGGGGGGAGACCGAUAGCGAACAAGUACCGUGAGGGAAAGAUGCAAAGAACUUUGAAAAGAGAGUUAAAGAGUGCCUGAAAUUGCUGGAAGGGAAGCGAAGGAAAGAAGUGUGCGGUUGCCCGGGCGCCAACCCCUACCUGUCCCAGGUGGGGGUAGGCCGCCCGGCCGCGGUCAGGGGUCGCGCCGGGCUCGGGGGAAGAGCCGUCGGGGAUCGGUAGGCGCCGCUUCGGCGGACGUUGUCAGGCCCCGGUGGUUGUUGCCCUGAGCCCGGCCCCCUUCUGGCGGUCGCGGCUUUUCUUCACCCCGUCUUGAAACACGGACCAAGGAGUCUAGCGUGGACGCGAGUAGAGGGGUGUCCAAACCCCCUUGCGCAAUGAAGGUGAACGCCGGUGGGAGGCCGCGAGGCCAGCACCAUCGACCGAGCGUGCUCCUCCGGGGGCAAGGCUUGAGUGUGAGCGUGCAUGCUGGGACCCGAAAGAUGGUGAACUAUGCCUGAAUAGGGCGAAGCCAGGGGAAACUCUGGUGGAGGCUCGUAGCGAUUCUGACGUGCAAAUCGAUCGUGAGAUUUGGGUAUAGGGGCGAAAGACUAAUCGAACCAUCUAGUAG